UGAUUAACAAGUUUAUGUAUCUAGCUAUCUGAUUGUUUUAGAAUAUCUGUUAAUUCUUCAUUUUGUGUGCUUUUUCGGUUUAUAUGUUCUGUUGUCGGCCCUGGAUGUUUGGAUUUUUGUUGUUUUUUUGUGUAAAUUAGGGUUUCGUGUGAUACGAAUGUGUUGUUUUUGUUCAUAAGUCCGGUUGAUUUGUGCUUGUGAUAGAUUUGUGCUUGUGAUUAAUUCGUGUUCUAAAUGUUAAUUUGAGAACCAAAUGAAUUUAUAAGAAUUGAAAACCUUCAGGUUUGUAUAGUUGUAACAGGUGAUUGGGAUGCAAUUCAGUUUUGAUAUGUAUUUCAAACGGAUUACUGAUAUGCAUCUGAGCAAAGAGUCGGGAUUACUGAUAUAAAUUUGUGUUCAACCUUCUCAGGUGAUCAGUAACAAGAAGUUACCCAAAUGAGGAUUCAUUAGACAAAUUCAUGGAGAGUGAUAGAAGAAUAUGUGGCAGAUUGAUUUGUUCUGUAGCCAAAGAAUCUCCACAGCAAGUCACCUGAUUAUUGUUUUGGCACUGUAAGAUACCUUAGCUCCUCAUCUGGAAUGUCUAAACUGCUUGAACAUACAAUUUGUGAGCUUCCAUAUAUAUUCGAUAUAUGAAAUUACGUACUUGAGUUGUUGCAUAUGCAUGCCAGUUCAUGCUCAGGUGGAUCUUAAAUUUACACUAGGUGAAGAACAAACAGUUGGCUGCUCCAACGUAAGUGUUCAUUCAAGAGUCGAAGGUAUCACUAACAACUAAUUCUUCUUCAGUAUUUGGAUAUUCUCAGAUUAUCUGGCUUGCCACAAUCAAGAGUUUGCUAUAACGAGUAAGCUUUAAACUGAGUAGAAGUAUAGAACAACUUGAGCUGAUUUUUUUUAUAGCAGUUUAGAGACUUUAAAAUACAGAUUUUCCUGAUAUACACAGGUUGUGUUUCUCGGUUGGUCUUAAAUGGUGAUGAUCACAAUUAAGCUGCUCUUAGUGAAGGUCGAAUUGCAAGGAGCUGAAGGAGGGUGACUUCCAGAUGGAUUCACCGCAUCUCUGAUUCUCCCUUUGCUUCCAAACAGUAAAUUUAAACUGAAAAUUAUUACUGAGAUAUGCCCAUCGAAGAACACGACAUUAGAUGGUCUUUACCGGUCACCAGAAAUUUCAUCACACAAUGUGAAACAGCGAAUUUUCGGAAAAUCCUAAUUGUCGUAGUGUAUAUGAUGUAAAAACUCUUCAAUGUCAUGAGCCUGAUCAAGUGCCCCUCAUUUCAAUGAUCCAGUGAUACACUGUAUCACUUUGGUAUCUCUGCUCCUUAUUUUAUCUGGCCUUUAACAUAGGAAUUUCAUUGGGUUACUGAUUCUGCAGAUAUUGAAGAUAGACUUUCCAAAGCAAUAGUGUCAUUUGACAUUGAAGAUGAACAAUUCAAUUUUUUUUACAUGGAUGGAUCCACCUAAAAUUCCUCUUGAAGAGCGAGUGAUUAUCGAUACAUUAAAUGACUCACUUUCACUGGUUGUUCCUCACAAAAGUUUUCUAAACUCAAGCUUUUAUAUAUGGGUGAUGGAUGACUAGGGGAAAUAGGUAUCUCUUGGACUAGGCGAUACAUCACCCGUCUAUAAAAGCUUGAGUUUAGAAAACUUGUGUAAGGAACAAUCACUGAAAGUGAGUCAUUUAAUGGAUCGAUAAUAACUGGCUUUUGAAGAGGAAUUUUAAAAGGAUCUAGCCAUUAAAAAAAAUUGAAUUGUUCAUCUUCAAUGUCAAAUGAAACUACUGCUUUGGAAAGUCUAUCUUCAAUACCUGCAGAAUCAGUAACCCAAUGAAAUGCCUAUUUUAAAGGUCAGAUGAAAUAAUGAGCAGAGAUACCAAAGAGUAUCAGUGGAUCAUUGAAAUGAGGGGCACUUGAUCAGGCUCAUGACAUGGAAGAGUUGUUACAUCAUGUGCACUACGACAAUUAGGAUAUUGGACAAAUGAUCUUCCUAUAAUGACAACAUAUGAGAGCAUUUUUUUUUUAUGACCCUAAAAUCCAGGAACGGAAGAACACUCCAGUUUUUUGUAUUUCACUACAUUCCGCCAUUAUGUUGAAACUUUGGAAACAGUCACCUGGGAUAUUGAAUAUUCAGGAAGGGCUGUCCAGUGAUGUAAUUCCCUGCCCUUGCAUAGUGUAUCUAUUAACACUGCAUGAUCUAAUAUCUCUGAAGCAUUGUUGAAGAAUAUUAAAUUAUAAC